UAGCAGUCAGGAAAUUUGUAUAUAGUUUUUGUGUUUAUUGUAACGUGAGUUUUGUAAAUAUUAUAUCAAUGCCUGUUGAUAAUACGACUCAAACGACGUUCAAUGUAAAUAAGUUCAAAUUAUUUGAAUUCCCUUAGAGUAGGCAAUCAUGGGUUGCGAACAUUUUGCAAAGUCUCCCCUGAGGCGGGCACACUUGUGUCUUCGAAAGGUUGGAAAGGGACAGCAGCACGAUCAUCGCUCCGAGUUAUCCUUCGUGACUUGCGAUCACGAAAGUGUACGACGAGUUUUCGGGAAAUGACGAGCUUCCGGUGCGUCCGAGAAUUCACUGUCUUAAUCUGAGGGAUCACAGACUCGAUCAUUCCGUUCGUGACUACCCAGCAAAAUAGAAGUGUGCGCGUUUGUAGAUUUGUUCGUUUCCACAUUGAAUGUGAAGAAAGUGUGCGUAGUAAAGCAAUUCGUGUGCGAGUUAGUUAGAAGCGAUAAAUAAGAGCCGUAAGGCUGUUUCAUUUGCAGCGAAGCUACCCGCACCCAACCGCGCAGAUUCCCCUAACGAACGGAAACCUUCCCGGCCAACCGUCAACCGGCCGGAAGUCGGACGAUCCGUAAACACAUUGUCCGAGUGAGGUGCAGGGGACCUCCUGGUCAACUUUCGCAGGUCAAUCGACCCGCGAAUUGCUUGCGAACUCCGAUCACGUCGGCCGCCAUUGCAUCACCAACCACGAAGCUACAACGCCAUUCAGUGCAGUGAUCGCCAUUCUACUCGCCCGUCUCGGACGGGGCACUGACCUGGGCCACAGGUCAACGACAUCGGUCAAGUAAGCCAGCGAAGUCGGUGAGUCGAAACAAACCUUUUUUUGUGUGGAGUGGGGCGUCCGCUGAGGGCGCCUCGGAGUUCUUUUUUGCCAGUCACAAGACUGAAGACGAUGUGCCGCUAAGGCCUCGUAUCGAAGUGGAGAUGGUCGUGCGUGCGUGACGAAUUGCCGCCGCCCAGAUCCGGUUGUCACACCAGGAGCGCAGACUAGCCCGCAGAUGUGCCGCCAAGGGUCGUGACGUCACACACCUAGAACACGUAGAGCACAUGAGCACGAUAGACAGAUAGAUAGGAAGAGAGGGAGAGUCAAAUUCGCACACGAGAUAGGAAUGUAGAGAGAACGAACACAUACACACAACAGAAUGAGUAAAUGCUAGCAUGUAAUAUGGAAAUAAAUGUACCCGGAUAUUUGUUGAAACCAAUAUGUAGUGUUUAAGUCGACCGUAGAAUAAACUCUCCUUAUGUUCCCUUGUAAUACGUUUGAUUAGUUUUCAUGUAUUGACCGUCACUACGCGUUUGUUGUCGUUCCCGUCCUCCCCUUAGGAGUUUGAUUGAUGGGGUUUUCAGUCCGUUUCCUCUUUGCUGUUGCGUAUCGCGGCGAGUGACUUGUCUGCCAGUGAUGAGAAUUGGUGAGCAACCGCGAAUGUUGUCUCACUUUGAGCAUGCGUGAUUCUCUCACCGAACUCUCUGAGUGCCUUCGGGAUUAAUGGUUGCGUUGAGGUAAUAGGGUGAACCCGUUCGGUCGUUUGGUUCGUAGGCUGGCUGGAACGAUCCGUAAAAUUCCUUUCGGAAAUAUUAAAUGGACUCGCCCUCAGGAGAGUCUCAUCCGGGCAAAUUGAAAUUGGGCAUGUGGUCUCCCUUGUGGAGUGGCGCUUAAGCCACGUGUUUUGAGACGGAUCGCCCGGGCUGG